CCCCGAAGCCGCCCGGGACGCAGGGAGGAGGGAAGGAGGCUCGGCCCCAGCAACCCGCGGCGCCGCGCUCCUCCACGCUCCGGGCGGCCCCUGCAGGUGCCAUGACUCAGCAGCCGCAGGAGGACUUUGACAGGAGCGUGGAGGAUGCCCAGGCAUGGAUGAAGGCUGUGCAGGAUCAGCUGCAGGUCAAUGACAACACGCAGGGGCCCCGCGCGGCCCUGGAGGCCAGGCUGUGGGAGACAGAGAAAAUAUGCCAACUGGAGCCCGAGGGGCGUGUGAAGGUGGACCUGGUGCUACGGAUGGCCGAAGCCCUCUUGGCAUGCUGCCCUGGGGACCAGAAGCCCGAGAUCCUGGCCCAGCUGAAGGACAUCAAGGCCCAGUGGGAGGAGACGGUCACCUACAUGACUCACUGCCAUAGCCGCAUCGAGUGGGUGUGGCUGCACUGGAGCGAGUACCUGCUGGCCCAAGAUGAGUUCUACCGCUGGUUCCAGAAGAUGAUGGUCAUGCUAGAGCCCCACAUCGAGCUCCAGCUGGGCCUGAAGGAGAAACAGUGGCAGCUGAGCCAUGCCCAGGUGCUGCUGCACAACGUGGACAACCAGGCGGUGCUCCUGGACCGGCUGCUGGAGGAGGCGGCCUCCCUGUUCAACAGGAUCGGGGACCCCAGCGUGGAUGAAGAUGCCCAGAAGAGAAUGAAGGCCAAGUAUGAUGCAGUGAAGGCCAAGGCCCAGGACCGGGUAGAUCUGCUGAAGCAGGUGGCCCGGGAGCAUGAGGAGUACCAGGCAGGCGUGGACGAGUUCCAACUGUGGCUGAAGGCGGUGGUGGAGAAGGUGAAUGGCUGCCUCGGGCGGAAAUGCAAGCUGCCCAUCACACAGCGCCUCUCCACACUGCAGGACAUUGCCAAAGAUUUUCCCAGGGGCGAGCAGUCUCUGGAGAGGCUGGAGGAGCAGUCUGUGGGCGUCAUUCGGAACACCUCUCCUUUGGGUGCAGAGAAGAUCACCGGAGAACUGGAAGAGAUGAGGAAAGUUCUGGAGAAGCUGCGCGCCCUCUGGGAGGAGGAGGAGGAGCGGCUGCGGGGUCUGCUCCAGUCCAGGGGAGCCUUUGAGCAGCAGAUUAAGCAGCUGGAGGCUGAGCUCAGCGAGUUCAGGAUGGUCCUGCAGAGGCUGGCCCAGGAGGGCCUGCAGCCUGCGGCGAAGGCGGGGACCGAGGAUGAGCUGGUGGCCCACUGGAGACGCUACUCGGCAACACGGGCGGCGCUGGCCUCAGAGGAGCCCCGGGUGGACCGGCUGCAAGCCCAGCUGAAGGAGCUCAUCGUCUUCCCCCAUGACCUGAAGCCACUCUCUGACAGUGUCGUCGCUGCCAUCCAGGAGUAUCAGAGCCUGAAGGGGAAGAGCGCCAGGCUGCGCAAUGCCGCGGGGGUGGAGCUGUGGCAGCAUUUCCAGCGGCCUCUGCAGGAUCUGCAGCUGUGGAGGGCCCUGGCCCAGCGGCUCUUGGAGGUCACUGCCAGCCUGCAGGAUCUGCCUUCCCUUCACACCUUCCUACCCCAGAUCGAGGCAGCCCUGAUGGAAAGCUCCCGCCUGAAAGAGCCACUGACAAUGCUGCAGCUGAAGAAAGACCUCCUGAUUGGCGUCUUUGGCCAGGAGAGAGCCAUGGCACUCCUGGAGCAGGUGGCGGGUUCCGUGAGGGACAGAGACCUGCUGCAUAACAGCCUUCUGCAAAGGAAAAGCAAACUGCAGAGCCUGCUCGCUCAGCACAAAGACUUCGGAGCGGCUUUUGAGCCCCUGCAGAGGAAGCUCUUGGACCUCCAAGUCAGGAUCCAAGCUGAGAAGGAGCUUCAGAGGGACCUUCCUGGAAAACAGGCCCAGCUCUCAAGGUUACAGGGGCUGCAGGAAGAGGGGCUGGACCUGGGGGCACAGAUGGAGGCUGCGAGGCCUCUGGUCCAGGAGAAUCCCAACCACCAGCACAAAAUGGACCAGCUUUCCUCCGACUUCCAGGCCCUGCAGAGGUCUCUGGAGGACCUUGUGGACAGGUGUCGGCAGAGCGUGGAGGAGCACUGCACCUUCAGCCACCAACUGCUGGAGCUGCGGCAGUGGAUCGCUGUGACCACGCAAAAGCUGGAGGCACACCGGGGAGAGGCUGGCCCGGGGGAUGCUGAGUCCCAAGAGGCCGAGUUUGAGAGGCUGGUGGCAGAAUUCCCGGAGAAGGAGGCCCAGCUGUCCCUGGUGGAAGCGCAGGGCUGGCUGGUGAUGGAGAAGUCUUCUCCGGAGGGUGCUACCAUGGUACAGGAGGAGCUCAGGGAGCUGGCAGAGUCGUGGCGGGCCUUGAGGCUGCUGGAAGAAAGUCUGUUGAGCCUCAUCAGAAACUGGCACCUGCAGAGGAUGGAAGUGGAUUCGGGGAAGAAAAUGGUUUUCACCAACAACAUCCCGAAGUCAGGAUUUCUCAUCAACCCCAUGGAUCCUAUUCCCAGGCAUCGUCGACGGGUAAAUCUUCUCCCGGAAGAAGAAGGGAGCCAUGAAGAUUUCUCCCAGCUCCUGAGGAACUUUGAGCAGUGGUUGCAGGUGGAAAAUUCCAAGCUGGUUAGAAUCAUUGCAAUGAGGACUUCUACAGCCGAGGACUUGAGGACCAGAGAAUCGAAGCUGCAGGAGCUGGAGGCUCGGGUGCCAGAAGGUCAGCAUCUCUUUGAGAACCUCCUUCGUCUCGGGCCGGCAAGGGGGACCUCGGAUGAGCUGGAAGAUCUGCGCUACCAGUGGAUGCUGUACAAGUCCAAGCUGAAGGACUCCGGCUACCUGCUGACACAAAGUUCUCCAGGGGAGCCGACUGGAUUCCAAAAGUGCACUGGAAGCUGCAGAGGAGACAGGGCGGACUCUGCCGGAUGCAGGAGAAGCCAGAGACACCAUCCUGACUUUUGAGAGCAGGUCUAAGAAACAGGCGUCCCAUGGAAAUAAUUUUCUUACCUCAGUUUUCAUCCAUGGCUUCCAAGCCCAACUAUGACAUGCUUAAUUGGAGAGAUUGAUUCAUCAUCUUCUCGUGGAAGCCCCUUGAAGCAUUUGUCAACUCAUGCUCAAGGACAUCGCUGUGCAAUUUCCUACCUGAUUAAUCCAUGUAGCCAAGCUGUCCGCCCCUGAAUCCCAGCAAGGUCCUUCCCUAUGACCAGCUCCCCAGCAGGCUGGCCAUGACCUCCCUGAAGGGGGCCAGGAAGAAAGCACACUGGCCGGGGAGGCAGGAGAAAUCGGUGCCAGCCUCGCACUCAUCACCAGCUUGCUUUGUGACUUUUGGUUCCACAAGAUCUACAGGAAGCAUGGCUUGGGAGGCCUCAGGAAACUUACAAUCGUGGCAGAAGGCGAAGAAGAAGCAGGCAUGUCUUACAUGACUGAAGCAGAAGGAAGACAGCGAGCCUCUGCUACACACUUUUAAACAACCAACUCUCAUGAGAACUCACUCACUAUCACGAGAAUAGCAAGGGCGAAGUUUGCCCCCAUGAUCCAGUCACCUCCCACCAGGCCCCUCCUCCAACAUUGGAGAUUACAAUUCGACAUGAGAUUUGGGCAGGGAAACAAAUCCAAACCAUAUCACCAGAGCAAGUGUAAAAACAUCCUGAAAGAAGAAAGGUUGGGAUCUUUGUCCAAUCAUUGCCAUGUGGGGAUGUGGGCUUUGGAUUAGAGCGACAGUUUCUCAAUCAUUCGAGAUUUCACAUUUUAAUGUUAAAAACAUUUUUUUAGGGGGCACCUAAUUUGAAUGUUAUUAAAAAAUACCUGUGCUAACAUGAGUGUGUACACAUGUGCUAUCAGGCUGGGUGUGGCCCACAGACCAUUGCUUUGCAAGCUUUGGUUUAAAUAAGCCCUAAGAUUCCUUUCAUUUCAAAAAUUCUAAAAUUCUAUGUGGGAUGUAGGUGCACAGACUAGGUGCAUGUGAAAUGUUUCUCAAUAGAUCUAGAGUUCUAAACUCGGCCCCUCACCCACGUGGGCCAAGAUUAGUUCGGGCAUCUGCUAUGUGCCUAUUGGGCUUCUACAGACAUUGUCUCACUCAGGCUUCAGGACUCUGUCCAGCUGGCUCUUCUCCUUUAUUUUGCAGCUGAAGACACCGGCUCAGAGAGAUGAUAAUUUGCCUAAGCUUGCCCAGCACAUAACCAAAUUGAAAUUUACUCCUUGGUGAUUUCCCAAGAUUUUGGUUUUGUGGAUGGAAAUUCCAUGACAUAAUCAGCACUUAGUGGAAACUCAAUGAUAAAUGCAUAAAGCUUGGGAGGGCUUCACCCCAAUAUUGUAUGUAGAUCCACUGUGGAAUUUCCAGCAUUCCCAAGGAUUGUAACUUGAUUGUCUUCAAUGACGAACCCAGCAGGCAUUAUCAGGCUGGGCCAGUAUUGGCAGCCCCUGGGUGAGCAAUUGCUUGGCAGCUAUCCAGCCCAUAAAGUGUUCUAAAAGGUCACUUGGUUUUGGCUGUUGGUAGAAGGUGAGAGAGAUGGAGAGGCCGUGAAAGCUGGGGUCUUUCCCAUCUGUUCCACAUUACAGUGCUAUUAAAUAUGUUAUGAUGUCCAUUGUCCAACAAACACAAGCAGAACUAAUCUCUUUGUUUAAGGUUCCUUGACUGACAUCAUUGGUGGUUAGAUGACAUACUUAUUUUCUCGUGACUAGAGUGGACUGGUUCAGUGAGAGGUUUGGAAAGAGUACAGGCUCUCACCCACGAAGUUGAGUGGGAAGUAUCUUGAUGCUGAUGGAUGCGAAAAGCAACCACAGCUCCAGGGAUGGGGGUGGAAAAGAGAAAGGCUUUGCCAUUGUCUCAGCCACAGAGAUGAAAUCUAAAGGAGACUAAAGACUUUUGGAGUGUCCAUUCAUUCAUCCAUCCGUCCAUCCAUCCAUCCAUCCAUACAAUUAUCCAUCCCUCC